rnacentral:rRNA from 1 species
UACAAGUUUCAAGUUUAGUGUCAUCAUUGCCCCUUUGGGUAGGCAUUUUCCUCUCGGCGCCACUCACGGUGCGUAGGGUCGGCAGUCUACUCUCUCUGCCUGCAGGGUUUAGAGAGGUGUCGCCAUUGCCGUCGCCGGGCCCGAUUGGUGGGGAUGUGCUGCACGCGAAGCCGCGAAGCGGAGGCGAAGCUCAAGCUGUGGCGCGUGUGCGUGUGCGUGUGCGUGCCGGCGAGACAAAGGAGGAGGCAAGGCAAUGCGCCGGAGCAACUAGAGGAGCCUUCUGAACCUGAACAGAAGUUAAGGAAGCGAAAGGGUGGGCUGAGGAGACGGCACGGAGGAGAUGCGCACGCACGACCAGCGUCCGUCGAGGCCCCCCUCUGGUCUGGUCUGCUGGAGCGGGCGGGCGGCGGCCUCCCUCCCUCGGACGAGCGGGCGGGGCGGAGGGACGGAGGAGGAGGGCCGGGCGCGGCCCGUAACCCUAGAGCGCCGAGCGGGGGGCGCGGUGGGGCGGGUUUGGGAUCGGCGGCGGUCCCCUCCCAGCGCAGCGCCGUCGUCCUAGGUUGCAAUGACCUGUAACUAAUACGAACCACCUACUCCUACAGUGUUAUUUCUCCCACCCCCCAAGCUAUUCCAAGAACUUCGACAGGUCACUCCCAAAUCUCAACAACGGAAACUUCUGAUAUUGGGUACGAUCACUUAUUUAACUUUUCCCUUCCACCGACCACUUGAACUCAAUUCUGUACAGGUUUAGAUGAGGACAAUUUCGUUCGUUCUUAAGACUUAACUUCUUUAGAUGUCGGUAGAAUUGUUAUCGUUUACCGGUACGAACAUUCUUCCUACGUUAACCACCUCUCGUAGGACAGGUACUGUAGUUCAGGUGACCGUGAACCUAGACAUCUUUAAACCGGACAUUUCGACAACAUUGUCGACUUCUAAGAAAGACGUUCUCCACGAGUACAACAUAAACGGUAGUCAAACUACUGUUAUUUCUAGGAUCAGAUACCAACCAAACACGUAGACUUUUACUGCUGUUUGUCACGACACCAAGAAGAACGGUAUAGCUCACACGGGAGGUUGUUUUCGCCCACCCUACGAAACUAGAAGUUUUUUAAUAAGUAGAACUACCCUCAAUAAGUACACGAAGUACACCCUUCUAUAGACCCUAUGAUCCAAUAACCUUUUCCGUUAAUCACUAACGUUUCGUCCGAGCGGCUCAACUAUAUGAGACGGUGGCGUAGAUACACUCAAUAGUCAACAACCUCCCAUGCUCGACAGUAUGUCUUAACGUAUUGUAAUAAGUUCUACGUUUUCGUUUUGAACUUACACUCCAGCCAGGUGAACUACCUUACAGCCGUUUCUACCGUGCACCAUAGCAUUCGUCCAAUAGACCACCAUCAUUAUAUGACUUUGAAACGAGAGAUCGCUAAGUUUUUCAACUACUCAACAACUCAGGAGGUAGAGGUCCGAACGUAGAAGCUCCAAGUAAUGGUCGACGCACGUCUAAGUUUAAGCAUCUAUAAUGUAGUAGAAGGGAACAAUAGUAGGAUUUUCUUUGAUUUAAUCGUAGUAGCCUGUGGUAGUUUCCAAUAUUCGAUACCAUGACCUUCUCGUCUCUCGUUGGUUCGUACCUACUCGGACAAUAAAACAGUUCUCUACUUUCUUUUUAUGAACAAAUAUUGGAGCGGUGUACGUGUCUUAUAAGGAAGUCUUAGUAUAGUAAGUGUCUACGACUACGCUGGUAACCCGUAAGGCUCAGAUUUACAAUAUGACGCUCGUUCCUCCAUAAACAGUUUAGACACUGGGUCUUCCGGUGCCCUUAUACGGGCGUCCGCGUCUGUUGCCUAUCCUCGGUCCGAACAUACAGGUGACCUAAAUCCUAGGCUCCACGACCCUUCUAGAACGCCGCUCGAACCCGACUUCUUCCGACAAAACUCCUAUACAUGCUUCCAAGUACACUGUAUUCACGGUGUCUUCGUCUGGUCCGUCUCUUGUCACUUGUCCCAGUAUACAAUAGACCACGUACAGCGUUUGAAGUCAAGUUACGUAAAAGACAGGGACUGGAUUUACGUGGGUACGGGUACCUGUACCUGAGAAGGGGACUCUUCUCGAUACUAAAUUUAUUGUCUGAAAAUUCUAGUUUACUGUCACCACCGAGUCUCCGAACGCUCCGUCAGUCCUCGCGCCUCGGCCGACGACAACUUAGAGCUGGUCCUCCGUUCCGUUUCGUCGGGUUACCACGAGUCUUACUUUCGACACUCGUCCUACCUCAAAGUCGGUAGACGGCGGUUUUCGUUGAAGACUUUUCCGGAUCUCACGACCUACUCCUGAUACUCAUGACACACUUCCACUAUGCCACCGACCUCACACUGCCCGUGUAUCUCUGACUAAAGUCUAACUUCAAAAACUGAACCGACUCAGAUUCUAGCUGACUCUUACUCGUAUCCCAACACUUGUGUAAGUAGUUUUGUGAUUAGUUUCUUGGUUCGUCAGACCGACUCGUCGAACAACUAAGAAAGCCUCUCUACUAUUUGACGUUCUCUGGUUUUCAUCCAAAGCCGUCACUCGAUACCGUAAACCUGUUUGUUAUUGUUAAGUUCUCAAGGGAUUGAGUAACCAUAGGAUAUCAAAAAGGCUAGUUCCCGUCACUUAGGGUCUUACUCUUACUCCCCCAAUCCAAGUAUUUGAACUAUUAGUAGCGUAGCUGGGUCGGCAGUCUAAUAAUGGUAUGGAAUAUUCAAGUCUAGUCUUGCACGUGUUAAAAGAACUCUCAGUAGUAAAGCCGGCAUGGUAUGGAAUAUUCAAGUCUAGCCUUGUACGUGUUAAAAGAACUCUCAGCAGUAAAGCUCGGAUACCCUAAUCCUAUAAACUAAAUGAAUCUUUAAGGAUAGAAGAACUAAGAUGAAUCCUUUUAGUAAAUCCGCCUUUUAUCUAACGUAACUUUCUAAGGACAAGGUGGACAUUCAUCACCUUUGUUAAAAUAUAAGAGUAACCAAAUCAUGAGAGAUAUAAGACAGUCUCGGGACCUUUUUAGAAUAUACUACAGUACAUACCGAAUGUAGACGAACCAUGGAUAAAAAGUCAUACCCACUAAAAAACCAUGACCUACAACCGAUCCUAUAUAAACCG